rnacentral:ribozyme from 14 species
ACAGAUACAAAAAGGAUGCAAAUUGAAAAAGGAAUAGAAAGAAUAGGAUAGCAGCACAUCCUAUUCUGUUCCAAACUGUAUCUCUUCGCUGUGUAUUCUUUUUUUUUUUU